rnacentral:rRNA from 1 species
CAAGCGUUAUUCGGAAUUAUUGGGCGUAAAGAGCGCGUAGGCGGUCUUUUAAGUCAGAUGUGAAAGCCCGGGGCUCAACCCCGGAAGUGCAUUUGAAACUAGAGGACUUGAGUAUGGGAGAGGGAAGUGGAAUUCCUGGUGUAGAGGUGAAAUUCGUAGAUAUCAGGAGGAACACCGGUGGCGAAGGCGACUUCCUGGACCAAUACUGACGCUGAGGCGCGAAGGCGUGGGGAGC